CGUCACAGCUGCACGCUAUUAACGUACAACCUUUCUUCCCAAUUGAAAGUGCUUUACAACCCUAAGGCCUUCUUCACACACGCGGCAUGGCUGCGUCAGGCUUUCGCCCAUUGCGCAAUAUUCCCCA
rnacentral:rRNA from 1 species